rnacentral:rRNA from 1 species
CUGCGCCUACGGGGGGCAGCAGUGGGGAAUAUUGCACAAUGGGGGAAACCCUGAUGCAGCGACGCCGCGUGAGUGAAGAAGCGCCUCGGCGCGUAAAGCUCUGUCAGCAGGAACGAUAAUGACGGUACCUGAAGAAGAAGCCCCGGCUAACUACGUGCCAGCAGCCGCGGUAAUACGUAGGGGGCAAGCGUUAUCCGGAUUUACUGGGUGUAAAGGGAGCGUAGACGGUUAUGCAAGUCUGAAGUGAAAGCCCAAGGCUCAACCAUGGGACUGCUUUGGAAACUGUAAAACUGGAGUGCAGGAGG